rnacentral:rRNA from 1 species
UACGGGGGGAGCAAGCGUUGUUCGGAUUUAUUGGGCGUAAAGCGCUCGCAGGCGGUCCGAUGCGUCGUGCGUGAAAGCCCCCGGCUCAACUGGGGAGGGUCGUGCGAUACGGUCGGACUUGAGGCCAGUAGGGGGAUGCGGAAUUCCUGGUGUAGCGGUGAAAUGCGCAGAUAUCAGGAGGAACACCGGUGGCGAAGGCGGGACUCUGGGCCGAUACUGACGCUGAGGAGCGAAAGCGUGGGGAGCGAACAGG